rnacentral:lncRNA from 1 species
GCAAAUAUGAAAGAAUCGACAAAGUAAGGUUUAAAUCAACAGAGCCAUGGAGAUUGAAAACAACAUGAUAAAGCCAAAAAAAAAAAUAUCAUGAUCAACUAUCAAAGGUGAAACUGACAUAGUUACUCUUACUUCUGUAACUAGAAAGAAAUGAGGAAAGGAAAAAAUUAAAAAAUGCCGAUUUGAUGACUCAUGUCUAGCUCAUAUUUUGAGUUUCCAGAACUCUUUUGGUAUUACAUUUGAUUUUAAGUGUUGUCUUCAUCUUAAAUAAGCUUGCUAAUCUUAUCAUUUAAUUUUCUUCCCCCAAAACUAUGGAUAAGCAUGCAUGACAGACAGACCGUUAUUUUAGGUUAUUGUGAUAAUAAUGUGACUGGUUUUCCACAGCAACCAAACUGUUUAUUCUAUUUAUAGACAAACGAGUUCCACCACCCAAAACAUCUUCACUCGCUUCCCAUGCAAUGCAUUGCAAUGCAGAGGAAAGUCAAGAAAAAAGACAGAAAGGUCAUGAUCUGUUUCUCCUCUGAAUAAGAUCCCGAUCUUUCUUUCCCCCACUUUGUUCUUCACAUACAAAGUUUGGUGGUUUCUCAAUCCUUUGCAUUCUGCUUUUAAUUGCAGGCUCUUCAAAGGAAAAAAAAAAAAAAACAGAUAAGUAGAUAGAUAGAUAAAUAAAUAUAAAAAAAGAAGGAAAACCAAACAUGGCUACCGGAUCAUUAAUUCGUUUUGUGGAGCAUCAACUGGGAAGGAUUCCACACUUCUUGUUGUGCAUGGUGCUUGAAUGGGUGUUGAUAAUUGUGCUUUUCCUUGAUGGGUUUCUUGCGUUUUUCGCCAUUGAGUUGGCCAAGUAUUUUGAAUUGGAAAUCCCGUGCUGGCUUUGCGCGAGGAUGAAUCAUGUUCUGGCCUGCAAAACUCCUAAUUUCUAUUACAACAACUCCAUAUGUGAGGCUCACAAGAAAGAUGUUUCUUCAUUGGCUUUCUGUCACAAUCACAAGAAGCUAUCUGAGAUAAGUAAGCUGUGUGACGCGUGCCUACUUUCGUUCGCAACCGGGAAGGAAUCAGAUUGUGAUACCUAUAAGUCCCUUGUGGGGGUUCUGAAUAAAAAUCUGGAGUGCUCUGUGGAUAAUGGCCAGAAUGUUCAAUUGAGCUUGAAGGAUGAUGGGGUCUUACAAGCUGAGAAAAACAGUGCUCAGA